UGGGGAAUUUUGGACAAUGGGCGCAAGCCUGAUCCAGCCAUGCCGCGUGUCUGAAGAAGGCCUUCGGGUUGUAAAGGACUUUUGUCAGGGAAGAAAAGGGCGGGGUUAAUACCCCUGUCUGAUGACGGUACCUGAAGAAUAAGCACCGGCUAACUACGUGCCAGCAGCCGCGGUAAUACGUAGGGUGCGAGCGUUAAUCGGAAUUACUGGGCGUAAAGCGGGCGCAGACGGUUACUUAAGCAAGAUGUGAAAUCCCCGGGCUCAACCUGGGAACUGCGUUCUGAACUGGGUGACUAGAGUGUGUCAGAGGGAGGUAGAAUUCCACGUGUAGCAGUGAAAUGCGUAGAGAUGUGGAGGAAUACCGAUGGCGAAGGCAGCCUCCUGGGAUAACACUGACGUUCAUGCCCGAAAGCGUGGGUAGCAAACA
rnacentral:rRNA from 1 species